rnacentral:rRNA from 1 species
UACGAAGGGGGCUAGCGUUGCUCGGAAUCACUGGGCGUAAAGGGUGCGUAGGCGGGUCUUUAAGUCAGGGGUGAAAUCCUGGAGCUCAACUCCAGAACUGCCUUUGAUACUGAGGAUCUUGAGUUCGGGAGAGGUGAGUGGAACUGCGAGUGUAGAGGUGAAAUUCGUAGAUAUUCGCAAGAACACCGGUGGCGAAGGCGGCCCACUGGCUCGACACUGACGCUGAGGAGCGAAAGCGUGGGGAGCGAACAGG